rnacentral:tRNA from 1 species
UGGGGCGUCGCCAAGCGGUAAGGCACCGGAUUUUGAUUCCGGCAUCCGCAGGUUCGAAUCCUGCCGCCCCAGCCA